ACUCCAGAAAAGAAGCAGGUAGCAGCGGUCAAAGCUACUCGGCAGAGAAAUCCAGGGCCGCUCCCGCUGAAAGAGGCAGCAGCCCCUGAGCUGGGUGCUUCGGGCGAGGGAUGGCUUCCUCUGGAGGGAAGCGCUGGCGGAGUGGGAAUUCUCCCGAGGGAAGCGCUGCCAUGCCAGAGUAAGGACGCUCCUGAGAGAAGUGCUGCCGAAACUUCUGCCGUGCCAGAACAAGGAAAAUCCCCAGGGGAAAGUGCUGCCAAAGCUGCUGCUCUGCCAGAAAAGGAACAUUCCUGAGGGAGCUGCUGCCAAACUUGCUGUCGUGCCAGAGCAAGGACGCUCCUGGGGGAACCGCUGCCAAAACUGCUGCCAUGCCGGAGCAGAGAUACUGCAGAGGGAAAUUCUACCGUCUGUUCCUUCAUCAGAGGAGUUUUCAGACAGACAGUGAAAAUAAGAUGAACUUUAUAUUGUGACUGCAUGGAAUUUGCUAGCUGCUUAGCUUCAGUAACAACAACGUUUGCCAGGAUAUCAUUGCAGUGCUACUCCAUGACUGCAGGCAGCAGUAUUCAGCUCUCAUCAUAUGUGGAGAAGAUUAUGUCCAAACGAGAGUGGAGAACAUGCUGAAGUUAAGAAAGCAGAAGUAUUUCUCUGUAUUUUAUACCAUGAUGAACAGUUAGUCAUAAUUUGGUGGAUUAUUCUCAUACUUCCUCUCUCUCUC